AAAUAUUUAAUGUAUAAUAGAACAUAUUAGGGUUUGAUCCUAAAAAAAUAAAAUUAAUAUUUU
rnacentral:tRNA from 1 species